rnacentral:rRNA from 1 species
CCUACGGGUGGCUGCAGUCGAGAAUCAUUCACAAUGGGGGAAACCCUGAUGGGGCGACGCCGCGUGGGGGAAUGAAGGUCUGCGGAUUGUAAACCCCUGUCAUGUGGGAGCAAAUUAAAAAGAUAGUACCACAAGAGGAAGAGACGGCUAACGCUGUGCCAGCAGCCGCGGUAAGACAGAGGUCUCAAGCGUUGGUCGGAACCACUGGGCGUAAAGCGUGCGUAGGCGGUUUCGUAAGUCGUGUGUGAAAGGCGCGGGCUCCACCCGCGGACGGCACAUGAGACUGCGAGACUAGAGUAAUGGUGUGGUAACCGGACUUCUCGGUGUAGCCGU